rnacentral:lncRNA from 1 species
CAGGGAAAGGGUGAAAUGGCAGAGGCCAGCCAGGACUAGGGGUGGCAGUGGAUAAGGGAGUGACAUGGAAGACACAUGGCAAAGAUUCUGGGGCCUCUAGUGACCCUGCAAGUGUUGGCAUUUCUCAGAGCCUCAGUUUUCUCAGCUGCAGAACGGGUUAAUGAGCCUUGGCCUACCACUCUCACGAAAUGAAGAGGCAAACCGAUUGUUAAGAAGUCCAAAGAUCCCAGAGACCCAGGGACUUGGCUUAACUCCAUCAUUUGUGAGAUGAAGAAAGAGCUUUCCAAAGGCAAAGUAGGUAAAGUAGUCACACGAGGAGGAACAUGCAGGGCAGGUCAUCAAAGCCAGGACUACUGCGUUCUUGCCCAGGAGGGCACUUAUUGAACUCAAUUCAUCAACUACGAAAAGUUGUAGAAAUAACAGGCUGAGCCCAGCUUCACCUCCUGAGAGGCCUUGGGCAAAUAAAUCACUGCAUCUAAGCGCCUUACACUUUCUUCUACAUCUGAACCAAGGUAGAAGCCUCGAUUCCACUACAUGAGGCAGAGAGCAGACAAUCGUAACAAAGAAAAUGCUCGCCUCAGACGUCACAGCUUUCAUAUAUCCUCUAUGACGGGAGCACAGAUUUGGGUGCAAACAUUCAGGGACCUAGAGCGAUGCAUUUCAGAGCUCCAUGCAUCAGUUUCUCUAUCUGCAAAAUGGACAGAAGAGCAGGAUUGAGGUCGCCAGCAGCCGCCAGGCGGGCAGAAGGAGGUGUCGCCCGCGCAGGAGGGAUGCAGGAAAAGAGUUGAAGCUAUGUGAACUUGGGCAUGUCCCCUCUCUAUCUGGGCUGGAUUUUCACAUAAAACAGGUCUGCGAGAGGGACAGGCCACUCCACUGGGGCCUUGGGAUGGCUCCCUACACAACCACCACUAAGCCAUGCUGCACUUUUGUGACAAUGAGGGUGGCACUUAGUGGCCCCUUCUUAGGGCCACCUCCCAUCAGCCAGGAGCAUUUGUGCUGUGUGGAAAUUGUACAGCUGUGUAAGACAGCCUUGUACCCAUGCCCAGGACUCUCCCUGUGUUCCUGGCCUCCUCCUGCUCUGGUCAGUCUGGACUCCUCUAUCGGACACAUGGGGCCAUCAUGA